rnacentral:rRNA from 2 species
UUUGGAGGAAUGGAAAGCUUCGGCUGACUAUGUUAGUAUCCAUUAAUACAAAAAAAAAUUAAUGGUUAAAAUGUUAAAAAGUAAAUAUUUUAAUAUUGCUAACGGUUUAGUGACUUUGUCACCUAAAGUUCUAGGUAGUAUACUGAUUAUGACAAUUUACUAUCUAUGUGUCUUGACCAAAUUACGUGCCAGCAGUCGCGGUAAUACGUAGAAGACUAGUGUUAUUUCAUCUUUAUUAGGUUUAAAGGGUACCUAGACGGUUUAAUUAGUCCAAAGUAGGAUACAGUUAAACUAGAGUUAUAUAUAAGAAGGUGAGUAUUUGUGGAGUAGAGUUGAAAUUCUGUGAUACCAUGAGGACUGGUAAGGGCGAAAGCAACCUUUUAUCUAAUAACUGACGUUGAGGGACGAAGGCUCGGGUCGCGAAGAGGAUUAGAUACCCUAGUAGUCCAAGCAGAUAAUGAUGAAUGCCAUAGAUUAGAUAAUAUUUAGUUUAUAAAUGAAAGUGCAAGCAUUCCACCUCAAGAGUAAUGUGGCAACACAGGAACUGAAAUCAUUAGACC